CCUACGGGAGGCUGCAGUGAGGAAUAUUGGUCAAUGGACGAGAGUCUGAACCAGCCAAGUAGCGUGAAGGAUGACUGCCCUAGGGGUUGUAAACUUCUUUUAUAUGGGAAUAAAAUGUUCCACGUGUGGGAUUUUGUAUGUACCAUAUGAAUAAGGAUCGGCUAACUCCGUGCCAGCAGCCGCGGUAAUACGGAGGAUCCGAGCGUUAUCCGGAUUUAUUGGGUUGAAAGGGAGCGGAGGUGGAUUGUUAAGUCAGUUGGGAAAGUUUGCGGCUCAACCGUAAAAUUGCAGUUGAAACUGGCAGUCUUGAGUACAGUAGAGGUGGGCGGAAUUCGUGGUGUAGCGGUGAAAUGCUUAGAUAUCACGAAGAACUCCGAUUGCGAAGGCAGCUCACUGGACUGCAACUGACACUGAGGCUCGAAAGUGUGGGUAUCAAACAGGAUUAGAUACCCUGGUAGUC
rnacentral:rRNA from 1 species